rnacentral:rRNA from 1 species
ACAGGCUUAACACAUGCAAGUCGAGGGGAAACGAUAUUGGAAGCUUGCUUCCGAUAGGCGUCGACCGGCGCACGGGUGAGUAACGCGUAUCCAACCUGCCCACCACUUGGGGAUAACCUUGCAAAAGUAAGACUAAUACCCAAUGAUAUCUCUAGAAGACAUCUGAAAGAGAUUAAAGAUUUAUCGGUGAUGGAUGGGGAUGCGUCUGAUUAGCUUGUUGGCGGGGUAACGGCCCACCAAGGCAACGAUCAGUAGGGGUUCUGAGAGGAAGGUCCCCCACAUUGGAACUGAGACACGGUCCAAACUCCUACGGGAGGCAGCAGUGAGGAAUAUUGGUCAAUGGACGAGAGUCUGAACCAGCCAAGUAGCGUGCAGGAAGACGGCCCUAUGGGUUGUAAACUGCUUUUAUAAGGGAAUAAAGUGAGUCUCGUGAGACUUUUUGCAUGUACCUUAUGAAUAAGGACCGGCUAAUUCCGUGCCAGCAGCCGCGGUAAUACGGAAGGUCCGGGCGUUAUCCGGAUUUAUUGGGUUUAAAGGGAGCGUAGGCCGGAGAUUAAGCGUGUUGUGAAAUGUAGACGCUCAACGUCUGCACUGCAGCGCGAACUGGUUUCCUUGAGUACGCACAAAGUGGGCGGAAUUCGUGGUGUAGCGGUGAAAUGCUUAGAUAUCACGAAGAACUCCGAUUGCGAAGGCAGCUCACUGGAGCGCAACUGACGCUGAAGCUCGAAAGUGCGGGUAUCGAACAGGAUUAGAUACCCUGGUAGUCCGCACGGUAAACGAUGGAUGCCCGCUGUUGGUCUGAAUAGGUCAGCGGCCAAGCGAAAGCAUUAAGCAUCCCACCUGGGGAGUACGCCGGCAACGGUGAAACUCAAAGGAAUUGACGGGGGCCCGCACAAGCGGAGGAACAUGUGGUUUAAUUUGAUGAUACGCGAGGAACCUUACCCGGGCUUGAAUUGCAGAGGAAGGAUUUGGAGACAAUGACGCCCUUCGGGGCCUCUGUGAAGGUGCUGCAUGGUUGUCGUCAGCUCGUGCCGUGAGGUGUCGGCUUAAGUGCCAUAACGAGCGCAACCCCUCUCCUUAGUUGCCAUCAGGUCAAGCUGGGCACUCUGGGGACACUGCCACCGUAAGGUGUGAGGAGAGGUGGGGAUGA